ACGGAAGGCAGCAGUGGGGGAUAUUGCACAAUGGGGGCAACCCUGAACCUGCGACGCCGCGUGAGUGAAGAAGUAUUUCGGUAUGUAAAGCUCUAUCAGCAGGGAAGAUAAUGACAGUACCUGACUAAGAAGCACCGGCUAAAUACGUGCCAGCAGCCGCGGUAAUACGUAUGGUGCAAGCGUUAUCUGGAUUUACUGGGUGUAAAGGGAGCGUAGGCGGUUUGGCAAGUCUGAUGUGAAACCCCGGGGCUUAACCCCGAGCAUGCAUUUGAAACUGUCGGACUAGAGUGUCGGAGAGGAAAGCGGAAUUCCUAGUGUAGCGGUGAAAUGCGUAGAUAUUAGGAGGAACACCAGUGGCGAAGGCGGCUUUCUGGACGAUAACUGACGCUGAGGCUCGAAAGCGUGGGGAGCAAACAGGAUUAGAUACCCUGGUA
rnacentral:rRNA from 1 species